rnacentral:rRNA from 1 species
GCAAGUCGAGGGGAAGCACCUCUUCGGAUGGUGGCGACCCGCGCACGGGUGCGUAACGCGUAUAGAACCUACCUUUUACAGGGGGAUAGCCUUUAUAAAUGAAGAUUAAUACCCCAUGGUAUUAUAGAUUGGCAUCAAUUUAUAAUUAAAGAUUUAUCGGUAAAAGAUGGCUAUGCGUCCUAUUAGUUAGAUGGUAAGGUAACGGCUUACCAUGGCUAUGAUAGGUAGGGGGCCUGAGAGGGAGAUC